rnacentral:piRNA from 1 species
UUCUCACCUAAGAGAAGUGAAAUGGAAGC